rnacentral:tRNA from 1 species
GGGCACUUAGCUCAGCUGGUUAGAGCGCACGAUUCACAUUCGUGAAGUCGGGGGUUCAAAUCCCUCAGUGCCCA